rnacentral:lncRNA from 1 species
UCAUAAAUACAACUUGUACAUUCAUCAAAACAUCCAUUUCAAAGUCUCUAAACGCAACACAUCGUCUUUAUUAGGUACUCCUACAACAUGGAAAGAAACAUAAAAACUUGUUAGAUAUACGCAUUAGAUUUGUAAGUCUUAUCAGUACAAAUGUAAGAAUUUUUCAAGAACAUAAAGGGGAUGAAGAACUCAAACACACGAACGUUUUAAUGAUUUCGCAGGUUUGUAUCUGCGAAACAUAGCAACUUAUCAAUAUAAUCAUAAGUUCGUAUUUGUAAACAUAUAUAACACAUACAAAAGUCUGAACUAUCUACACGUUCGUGUUUUAUCAGUACUUUUUGCGAGUUCAUCAAGAACACUAGGGACAUGAAGCACCCAGAAGGUAUAUAUAAACAAACUCACAAAUAUCUAUAUGUUCGUAAGAGACAGUGAAAACAAACGAACCCACUAACGCCUAUGUUCGUCCCAGUGGGUCGUGAACACAAUGUUCGUAUCGGCAAGUGAAAACAAAUGAAUUACCACGACAUGUAUUCUUCUUGGUGACGUGAACAAAACAUUCAUAUCAGGCAGUGAAACAAACGUACCGCACGACUUGUGUUCGUCCCGAUAGGAUAUGAACAAAACGCUUGUACCAGACAUAAAAACCCCAGAAAAAUGCCCAAAGAAUAUAAUGAAGAACAUAAAAAAUCCAGAACAACCAAAUCCACGAGAACUCGAAGAACACGAAGAAGAAGAGCUUAAAAGAGAGCUCACCUACCUUUUUGAAAUUUCCGUUGCACCAUUUUAGUAUUUCUUCGUUCAAAGAUCCGCCAAAAUGAACAUAAAUCAAUCAUCCAUUCAAAGCAAUCGAGAGAGAGAAAACUCAUAUCAAACAAAACCAUAAAAACUCGAAAAAUAAGAGAACAAAAUGGAGAUAACCCAUAUUUUCGAGGUUUGUUUACAUUCUUCUAAUGUUUUCUUGGCAAAGAUCCAUCUUGAUAAUGCUAAAAUCCGUCUUGAAGAGCAAAAAACUAACUCAGAUCUAGCAUCCAUUCAAAUAAAUUAAGAGAGAAAAUGGGG